AGCUCUUGUGUUUGUUUCUGUUUAACUUGUGGACAAACAUGUAGAGACAGAUGCAAAACAUAAAUCCUCUUUUGCAACCCAGACUCAUUGCUCAGUAUGAAUUUUGAUACACAUAAGAAGAAAUAUU